UAAAUUAUCACUUCAUAAUAAUGCUCUUAUUAUGAUCAACAAUCAAAUGUUUUAGGAUACGAUUCCCCUGCAGUUCUCAUGUGGUAUGCUCCGUGUUGACGCGGGAGUCAUCAUAAAGUUGCAGUGUUUACCUCAGAAGAACAUUAAAAGAGUCAGUCUGUAAGGAAAGAGGAGGAGCACAAAAACACUCUUGCAAAGCUGAUCGCAAAAGUCAGAGAGCCGGAAAGAAAAACCUCAGACAACAGACAGAAAUGAAUGGGAUCGCAGCUGGUUGCAGCAAACCCGUUAAUUUAAGAAAACCAUUAGUAAUAAUCUAUUUUAUAAAUUUUGGGUUUUUCUUAGAAAUAGUUCACCCAAAAAUAAUAAGUUGCUUAAAAUGUACUCACCUUCAGGCCAUCAAAGAUGUAGAUGAGUUUGUUUCUGGAAGCAGAUUUGAGGAAAUAUAUCACUUGCUCACCAAUGGAUCCAUUGCAGUGAAUUGGUGCUGUCAGAAGCAACAGCUGAUAAAACAUCACAGUAAUCCACAUGACUGCCUUUCCUUAAUUGUGAAGCAGAAAGCUGUGUUUGUAAUAAACAAAUCAGUCAUUAAGACCUCUGUUAGUUCUCUGUCCUCAUAUUGCUUUCUCCAGUGAAAAAGUUCUCUGCUGAAUUGGGAGAGAAAAGCAUAUGGAGGUUUUCACAGGAGGAAGUGUUAUUGAUUAUGGAGUUCUUGGCCAAAAGCAUUGGUUUGAAGUUAAAAUGCCUUAAUGAUGGAUUUGUUUUUUUACAAACAUGUAGUCAGGGUUUGUUGCAAACAAGACAUGGCCUUAAAGCCCCACUAUGUAAUUUUGUCUUCUAAAUUUGCUAAAUAUAGUGAGCGAGUACAUCAUAAAUUUAUACACCAAACUGACGUUUUGUCUUUUCCCAGAUCACUAUUGUACAUUUAUAAUAAGUGAUUAUUUUUGGACUAUUGUAGCCUGUUCGGGUCGUCACCGCUGCGGAGUAACACAUACCUGCGUGAAUCGCCAUAGACAUAAACCUAGAGAAGUAGUUCCGGUCACUUCAUGUUCUUCCGCGUGAUGCGUGUAGUUCUGUUUAAUAACCGCUAGAGCGCCACACUUUACUUAGUAUUGCUUCAAAGCUUAAAAAGUUCAUAUUAAGAUGCUGUAAAUCAGUUACUACUUGGUUUUAUUUUGUAUUAGCAGUGAUUGCAAAGAUUUUUCGUUCAUACGGUUUGGGAUUUGUUUAAAUCCUGAACCCUUUAUACUACAAUUCUUCAAAACCAUGUUUAGGAGAAAGGUAAGUGAUCAGCAUCAUGACAUGUAUGUAUUAUAAAGUGCCAUUAAAUUUACUUAAGAAAAUGUGGUAAAGUGCUGAGAUUCUCUCAUAUCACCUAGAAUAAUUUAAACUCCAUGCAGUUCAAGGUUAUCUGAACCAGCGAAGACUGUGAUGAUAAUUCUUAUACUCAACACUAGAGAGCAGCAUGUUUCCAUUUUAACAAUGACAUUUCUUUUCAACAUCUGAGAUUUUGUGCACUAGUCUUAAAACUUUUCUUAUUUAGACUUGCCAUUUAUAGUUAUAGUUUCUCCUUGUUUCUCUGAAAUGUUCAUGACAAGCAUGAAUCCAACUCUUUGAGGGCCCUCCUUAGCACAAAUAUUUACACAGUCGCAUUAAAUGAUUUAGAAUAGAAUUGUUGGUUGGUGACUGAUGGCACUCUGUGAGUUAUUUUAAACUGGCAGCCUGUGGGGAAGAUCAAUAUGACGGUUAAUGAAGGUUUUGUUUGUGUUUGAACAUCCAAAGCUGAGUCAGAGUGAAAAUCUUUACAAUGAGAAUAGUUGAGAAGUGUUAUAUAAAGCAUAUCAAGAAGUAAAAGCAGUUUCGUGCUCCAGUCUUCACAACAAAAAAUAUUUUUCCUGAAGAAAAGAAAAUCCCAUAAACCAUCAGUCUCAUGACAGGUAAUAUAAAAAUGCAGAUAAGUUCAAGAUUAUUUAACAAGACUAUUUAUGAUCUUGUCUAAUCUCUGUGUUGUAUUGCAGGAGGAUGAUGCACUGCUCAUGAGAGUUACAGAGCUCAAUAUCGUGGAUGGUGUUGAAUUCAAAGAUUUCUCUGCAUUUGUGUCCAGGUAGAGUUAUGAUUGGUAGCUGGUUAAUAUCAAUGGUGUGUUUGUAUUUCAAUUCAGGUCAUCCAAGACGAAUGGGUGCCGUCAGAAAGAGAGUCCAAACAGCUGACAAAAACAUCACAAUAAUGCACAAGUAAUACACAAUACUCCAGUCCACCAAUUAACGUCCACUACCAUAAUAUUUUCUCCAGUAAUAAAAUGGUCUUGUCUGAAUCCGGAGAGAAAUAUGCACAGAUCUAGCACAGUUUACAGGUGAAAACAUUUCUAAACAAAUAUGUUGGUGGACUUUGAUGUGAGAGGAAAAUGGGAUGAUCUUUUUCACUGGAGGAAGCCGUAUUAUGGAUCAUAUUUUGGUCAGAAGCAACAGUUUUAGGUUAAAAUUGCAUAAUGAUGGUUUCUUACUAACACACAUCAGUGUUUGCCACAGACUUACACUCCAUGUGAUGGCAUUUUCCCAGAGGGAAAUAUAUAUGUAUUAAUAAAACAGCAGACGGGCUUAUUGAGAACAGAAAUUCAUUCUCUGCCAGCAGGUGGCGCUUUUGGGGUGGCAGAAAUACAGCGUUUUCCCUUGUAACUGUUGUACACAGAGCAGCACAGCGAAAUCUACUUUAUCAAGCAUAAUAGGAGAAAUGAAAUGAAAAUUAAUCAACUUUUCCUGAAGAGAGUUGGUUCCCUUCAAAGAUACAUUCAUAUAAAAACACCCAUGUAAUAUUUUUAACUUUGAAAUGUGAUGAGCUCUUGUUAACAUGUUUAUUUGUGGCAGUCAGUGUUGAAAUUGUGGUGGGUCACCACAAAUAAAUCAAUGUAUGGGAAACACUGAUGCCUUUUUCUGCUUCACAAGACGUUAACUAAUUACCUGGUGUACUGUUAAUUAAUUGUGGAUUAUUAUGUUUUGAUCAACUGUUUGGACUCUCAUUCUGACAGCACCCAUUCACUACAGAGGAUCCAUUGGUAAAACUUUAAAUCUUGCAUGACCUGAGGGUGAGUACAUUUUAAUAUUUGGACAAAAUGUUCCUUUAAUGCAAUUAUUUUUCACAUUUAAAAAUAAGCAGAUUCCAUGUAUAAUUUGUACUCUUCACAAAAUGAGGUAUCUUGUUUGUUUGCAGAAAUAAAAAAAACAACAGAAAUCCCAUUAGGAGAACAUCCAGGUUGCGCAAUAGGUUACACAUCAUAAAACCUACAGUCAAGAUGCUGAGUGAACACGGACCAGCUGUUGUCAGCGCGAUGUGGGAGAGUUCCCGCAGAGGUCUGAUUUUCUCAUUGAGGACUGAUUAACAAGUGUUGCAGCGAGAUCAGGUUAGAUCCCACUGCUGGCUGAUUGACUGACGGCAGUAUACGCUUGAGAAUUAUUCAUAUGAGUCAGUGUACUAGCAAAAUUCAAUAUAACCUCAAAAAUAUUCCAUCGUUAGAUGAAUAAGGGCUUUGUUUAUGUGUUUGAGGGGUUUCUGUUAUACUUGUAGCUGAAAGAUUUGUUUAUUCGUGGUCCAGGCCAAAUGAACAAAUAAAUGUCUCUGAUCAUUAGGCAUGUGGUCCAUAUCUGUGGUAACUUCAUCUCUGAAGAAAGAUCAUUUGUGAAAGAUGAAAUUCUAUCAUGUUCUGUUUUAUUGUUCUGUUAUGUUGUGCUCUAUUCUGUUGUUCUCUCUUCUGUUCUGUUGUAUUCUGUUUGUUCUUUUUUCUCUGUUGUGUUCUAUUUUCUGCUAUAUUCUGUUGUAUUCUAUAAAAAAUGUUGUAUGUCCGGUUUUAUUUUGUAUUCUUUAUAGUACUCUGUUUUGUUGAGUUUUUUGUUGUUGUUCCAUUGCAUUAUGGGGCCCGUUUCAAUAAGAAGGUCCAACUAACUCUUAGUUGAAACUUGAACUCUGAGUUGAUUUAAUCUGAGAUGGGAAACUGAGUUUUUGAGUUCAGAAUAGCUGAAUUAUAUAAGUUCAGUCAACUCUGAGUAGGUUAACUCUGAGUUUAUCACGUGCACCACGACUAAGAAAAGCCAUGAUCAUGGAGCUCUGAUAUUCAAGAUUCAAGUAGCUUUAUUGGCAUGGUAAAAAAGUAUCUUAACAUUACCAAAGCAUAGACACUUUUAAAUAAACAUAGUAGAAUUAUAUAUCGUAUAGAGUCUAUAUAUCUGUAUACAGUAAAACUAAAGUACUAAUAAAAUUUUUAAUAAAGAGACAGGAGAAGGACUAAAUCCUGUCAUGUCAGUUUGUGUGUUGUACAGUGUUUUCUUCCGGCUGUGACUUGUGGUUCUGUUCUACUGCUUCUCCUUUUAUCAUGGCAGGACUUGACGUACCUUGCAGCCAGGUUAGAGCUUGUUGAGGCUUCUCCCAGAAUGUAUGACAGUUUGUCCUUUUUGCUGUACCUGAAGUCUUUGUGCUGGUUUGUGAAUUGGGGAAGAAUGUUUCCCUAAUUUGUGUAUAAUUAGGGCAUGUUGUUAAAUGUUGUGCAGUUCUGUUUCCACUUCAUAUCAUGUGCAGUGUGGACACAAUCUGUCUUCUUCUGAUGAGUCUGUACAUGGUCAGGACUUUUCUUAGUUUAGGGUCUGCCACUGUGUUUAUGCCAAUUUAUAUUCUCUGUUUGGAGACAGAUAGCAUUUUAAUUUACUUUGCUGAGCUGUUGCUUCUGUCCAAUGUUGUAGAUAUUCAUCAGAUGUUUUAAUGAUUUGAUUUAGGGUUUUUGGAUUGUAAAGUCAGUUCUGAGACCAGCUGGCUGAGGGUUUUUUUCUCUGGGUUCAGUUUCUGGUAGUUUAAGGCUUUAUGGUGGAGGGUCUCAUUAUGACUGCUUUUUAGGUGCACAUGGAAUUUAAUGGCUUUUUUGGGGGGUUUUAAUUAUUAAUUACCCAUUAGCACUUAAGCCCUAAUUCUGAUAUAACGAUUCACCGUGGCAACAGCUCCCGCCAAAAAGCCGUCUGCAUACUUAAGACUCAAUACAAGUUUAAUUCUUAUAUCACUGUUAUAAUAUCACAGGUGAAAACUGGCAGAACAGUAGGUUAUUGGACUAAUAGGCUAUUAAUUUUCAUGGUAUCUCAUGGGCAAAAAAAAAAAUAAUAAUUUACAAUUUGACAUUUACAAAUGAUCUGCCAAUUGAGUAAGAAGAAUACGUCAGUGGCUAUUUAUUUUCAGUGGAAUUAAAAUACUUUCUUAGCCAGGCUGUUUUUGAAAAUAAGAACUUGUUAUUAAUUACUCUGACUGGUUAAAUAAAGGUUAAAAAAUAGAUCCUAUUUACAGUGGGCUAAGUGCAAAUAGCUGUAGAUGCUGUUUACACUUAGUAAAAAUUGUGAUAUAUUGUAUUUACCAUGUAAAAGUAGCAGUUCUUGGCAAUAUGCUAAGUGUAAAUAAUAAUUAGAUGCUAUUUAUGCUUUAUACUUGCAGAUACAUACUAGACCUAUUUGCACCUCAGUAUUGUUAUACAUUAAAAGGAUGCAAUAAUAACAUAUUGUAAAUUAUUAUAUUUAUUAAAAUUACAAAUACUUGUAUUAUUAUUAAACACUCGUUAGGCACUUUACUUCCACUUUUAGAACAUUUUCUUCAUUUUUAUUGAAAAUAAAUUCCAAUGUGAUAUGUGAUGGGAAAAGUGAGAAGAACGAGCUCGGCAAAAGCUGGACUCAAACCCGAUCAAUCGCGUUGCAAGCUAGUUCUCCUUGCACAACACGUUACUGCCUACACCACUGAAGAUGUUAUUCACAUGCAUUGUAUUUAACCUUGUGUGACAUUGUAGGGCGGAGCCAUGGUAGAUUUUAAUCUUGCUUACCAUUUGCAUUAAGAUUAUUUUUAUUACCACACUGGCAUAUACAAACCUGAUUACAAAAACUUUGGGACACUGUACAAAUUGAGAAUAAAAACAGAAUGCAAUGAUGUUGAAGUUUCAAAUUUCAAUAUUUUAUCCAGAAUACAACAUAGAUGACAUAUCAAAUGUUUAAAAAGAGAAAAUGCAUAAUUGAAAGGAAAAAAUAAGUUGAUUUCAUAAAAAUAAAUUUCAUGGCAUCAACACAUCUCAAAAAAGUUAGGACAAGGCCAUGUUUACCACUGUGUGGCAUCCCUUCUUCUUUUUAUAAAAGUCUGCAAAUGUCUGGGUACUGAGGAGACAAGUUGCUCAAGUUUAGGAAUAGGAAUGUUGUCCCAUUCUUGUCUAACACAGGUUUCUAGUUGCUCAACUGUCUUAGGUCUUCUUUAUGAUUUGCCAAAUGUUUUCUAUGGGUGAAAGAUCUGGACUGCAGGCUGGCCAUUUCAGUACCCGGAUCCUUCUUCUACACAGCCAAGAUGUUGUAAUUGAUGCAGUAUGUGGUCUGGCAUUGUCAUGUUGGAAAAUGCAAGGUCUUCCCUGAAAGAGACAACAUCUGGAUGGGAGCAUAUGUUGUUCUAAAACUUGGAUAUACCUUUCAUCAUUGAUGGUGCCUUUCCAGAUGUGUAAGCUGCCCAUGCCACAUGCACUCAUGCAACCCCAUACCAUCAGAGGUGCAGGCUUCUGAACGGAGCGCUGAUAACAACUUGGGUUGUCCUUGUCUUUUUUAGUCCGGAUGACAUGGCAUCCCAGUUUUCCAAAAAGAACUUCAAAUUUUGAUUCGUCUGACCACAGAACAGUUUUCCACUUUGCCACAGUCCAUUUUAAAUGAGCCUUGGCCCAGAGAAAACACCAGCGCUUCUUGAUCAUGUUUAGAUAUGGCUUCUUUUUUGACCUGUAGAGUUUUAGCCGGCAACGGUGAAUGGCACUGUGGAUUGUAUUCACCGACAAUGUUUUCUGGAAGUAUUCCUGAGCCCAUGUUGUGAUUUCCAUUACAGUAUCAUUCCUGUAUGUGAUGUAGUGCCGUCUAAGGGCCCAAAGAUCAAGGGCAUCCAGUAUGGUUUUCGACCUUGACCCUUACACACAGAGAUUGUUCCAGAUUCUCUGAAUCUUUUAAUGAUAUUAUGCAAUGUAGAUGAUGAUAACUUCAAACUCUUUGCAAUUUUUCCCUGAGAAACUUCUUGCUGAUAUUGCUCUAGUAUUUUUUCGCCGCAGCAUUGGGAGAAUUGGUGAUCCUCUGCCCAUCUUGACUUCUGAGAAACACUGACACUCUGAGAGUCUCUUUUUACACCCAAUCAUGUUGCCAAUUGACCUAAUAAGUUGCAAAUUGGUCCUCCAGCUGUUCCUUAUAUGUACAUUUAACUUUUAUGUCCUCUUAUUGCUACCUGUCCCAACUUUUUUGGAAUGUGUAGCUCUCAUGAAAUCCGAAAUGAGCCAAUAUUUGGCGUGACAUUUCAAAAUGUCACAAUGUCAACAUUUUAUGUUUUCUAUACUCUGUUGUGAAUAAAAUAUAAGUUUAUGAGAUUUGUAAAUUAUUCCUUUCCUUUUUUACUCACAAUUUGUUCAGUGUACCAACUUUUUUGGAAUCGGGUUUGUAAUUUUACUUAAGUAAAAUGCACUUAAUUUAGA